rnacentral:rRNA from 1 species
UACGUAGGGUCCGAGCGUUGUCCGGAAUUACUGGGCGUAAAGAGCUUGUAGGCGGUUUGUCGCGUCUGCCGUGAAAAUUCGAGGCUCAACCUCGAACUUGCGGUGGGUACGGGCAGACUAGAGUGUUGCAGGGGAGACUGGAAUUCCUGGUGUAGCGGUGAAAUGCGCAGAUAUCAGGAGGAACACCGGUGGCGAAGGCGGGUCUCUGGGCAACAACUGACGCUGAGGAGCGAAAGCGUGGGGAGCGAACAGG